AAGAAACUAACAAGGAUUCCCCUAGUAACUGCGAGUGAAGCGGGAAAAGCUCAAAUUUAAAAUCUGGCGGUCUCUGGCCGUCCGAGUUGUAGUCUGGAGAAGUGCUUUCCGCGCUGGACCGUGUAUAAGUCUCUUGGAACAGAGCGUCAUAGAGGGUGAGAAUCCCGUCUUUGACACGGACUACCAGUGCUUUGUGAUGCGCUCUCAAAGAGUCGAGUUGUUUGGGAAUGCAGCUCAAAAUGGGUGGUGAAUUCCAUCUAAAGCUAAAUAUUGGCGAGAGACCGAUAGCGAACAAGUACCGUGAGGGAAAGAUGAAAAGCACUUUGGAAAGAGAGUUAAACAGUACGUGAAAUUGCUGAAAGGGAAACGCUUGAAGUCAGUCGCGUUGUCCGGAACUCAGCCUUGCUUUUGCUUGGUGCACUUUCCGGAUGACGGGUCAGCAUCGAUUUUGACCGUCGGAAAAGGGCUGGAGUAAUGUGGCACCUCCGGGUGUGUUAUAGACUCUGGUCGCAUACGGCGGUUGGGAUCGAGGAACGCAGCGCGCCGCAAGGCAGGGGUUCGCCCACUUUCGCGCUUAGG
rnacentral:rRNA from 1 species